rnacentral:rRNA from 1 species
AGCUGCAGUCGAGAUCAUUCGCAAUGGGCGAAAGCCUGACGAUGCGACGCCGUGUGAGCGAUGAAGGCCUUCGGGUCGUAAAGCUCUUUCGCUUGGGAACAAGAGAGGUCAGCUAAUAACUGGCUAAUUUGAGGGUACCAGGUAAAGAAGCACCGGCUAACUCC